rnacentral:rRNA from 1 species
CCUACGUGAGGCUGCAGUGGGGAAUAUUGCACAAUGGGGGAAACCCUGAUGCAGCGACGCCGCGUGAGUGAAGAAGUAAUUCGUUACGUAAAGCUCUAUCAGCAGGGAAGAAACACUGACCUUACGGUCAGCAGACGGUACCUGAGUAAGAAGCCCCGGCUAACUACGUGCCAGCAGCCGCGGUAAUACGUAGGGGGCAAGCGUUAUCCGGAUUUACUUGUUGUAAAGGGAGCGUAGACGGCAGCGCAAGUCUGGAGUGAAAUGCCGGGGCCCAACCCCGGAACUGCUCUGGAUACUGUGAAGCUGGAGUGCAGGGGAGGUAAGCGGAAUUCCUGGUGUAGCGGUGAAAUGCGUAGAGAUCAGGAGGAACACCGGCGGCGAAGGCGGCUUACUGGACUGUAACUGACGUUGAGGCUCGAAGGCGUGGGGAGCAAACAGGAUUAGAUACCCCGGUAGUC